rnacentral:tRNA from 1 species
GAGAAUUUAUUAAAUAUAUUACUGCUAAUAAUAUUAAGAAGAUAAAAAUUUUCAAUUCUUU